CUACAAAGUAUCACUACUACUACUACCACUACUUUUGCGAACCUCUUCGUUGUCAUACAACCAUCCACCACCAUGUCUCCCUGCUCCUGCAACUGCUGCUCCGGUGACUGCAACUCUUGCUCUUGCGGCUCCUGCAAGGUAUGUCGCU
rnacentral:sRNA from 1 species